UCAGGAGUGGGCAGGAGGAGGAGUAUAGGAACCUUAUCAAGGACUUUGUUAAAUGGUGCGACUCAAACCACCUACACCUGAACACCAGCAAAACCAAGGAGCUGGUGGUGGAUUUUAGGAGGCCCAGGCCCCUCAUGGACCCCGUGAUCGUCAGAGGUGACUGUGUGCAGAGUGUACAGACCUAUAAAUACCUGGGAGUGCAGCUGGAUGAUAAAUUAGACAGGACUGCCAAUACUGACUGCGGUGGGUUGGCACCCUGCCCAGGAUUGGUUCCUGUCUUGUGCCCUGUGUUGGCUGGGAUUGGCUCCAGCAGACCCCCGUGACCCUGUGUUCGGAUUCAGCGGGUUGGAUAAUGGAUGGAUGGAUGCCAAUACUGAUGCUCUGUGUAAGAGAGGAAAGAGCCGGCUGUACUUCCUUAGAAGACUGGCGUCCUCCAACAUCUGCAAUAAGAUGCUGCAGAUGUUCUAUCAGACGGUUGUGGCGAGCACCCUCUUCUAAGCAGUGGUGUGCUGGGGAGGCAGCAUUAAGAAGAGGGACGCCUCACGCCUGGACAAACUGGUGAGGAAGGCAGGCUCUAUUGUAGGCACGGAGCUAGACAGUUCAACAUUCGUGGCAGAGCAACGGGCCCUGAGCAGGCUCCUGUCAAUCAUGGAGAAUCCACUGCAUCCACUGAAAAGUAUCAUCUCCAGACAGAAGAGCAGCUUCAGCAACAGACUGCUGUCACUGUCCUGCUCCACUGACAGACUGAGGAGAUCGUUUCUCCCCCAAACUAUGCGACUCUUCAAUUCCACCCGGGGGAUCAACAGAAGAUUAAUCCUUCUUUUCCAACCCAGUCCCAGUGGUUAACAUCUCCUCCAGCUCCUCAUAAAAAUAUCACUUCCAACUCCCCCCUUCCGACCAGCCAUGAUGAUGUCACUUUCCGAUCCACUCUUGAUAACAUCAGCCAUGAUGAUGUCACUUCCGGCCAACCCUUGAUGACAUCACUUCCGGCCAGUCAUGAUGACGUCAAUUCUGUUCUGCUCUCAACUUCCUUCCUGCUGCCAUUAUUUAAAUGGCUUUGAAUCUCUAUCUCUUGUUGAUCCAUCCUCUGCUGAUGCCAUGCAGUGUACCUUCAAGGCCGUCGGUCGAUGUGUUGUGAGGAGGAGGGCUGUUCGCACGUGUCGUCAAAAAUCGCGCAGAAGAAGACCUCCGGUUUCACACAACGAAAAUGCGUGUUUUGUUGUUUCUGAGCUAUAACACUUUCAUUAUUUGAUUCACAAAUAAAUCGAGAAAAGUAUGUGUAAUUUUAAGUUUAUGACUGCUAUUUGUUACCACAGAAUUAAAAAAUACCUUAUUUUCCCUCA